AUUGAACGCUGGCGGCAGGCCUAACACAUGCAAGUCGAGCGGAUGAAGGGAGCUUGCUCCUGGAUUCAGCGGCGGACGGGUGAGGGAUGCCUAGGAAUCUGCCUGGUAGUGGGGGAUAACGUCCGGAAACGGGCGCGAAUAACGCAUACGUCCUGAGGGAGAAAGAGGGGGAUCUUCGGACCUCACGCUAUCAGAUGAGCCUAGGUCGGAUUAGCUAGUUGGUGGGGUAAAGGCCUACCAAGGCGACGAUCCGUAACUGGUCUGAGAGGAUGAUCAGUCACACUGGAACUGAGACACGGUCCAGACUCCUACGGGAGGCAGCAGUGGGGAAUAUUGGACAAUGGGCGAAAGCCUGAUCCAGCCAUGCCGCGUGUGUGAAGAAGGUCUUCGGAUUGUAAAGCACUUUAAGUUGGGAGGAAGGGCAGUAAGUUAAUACCUUGCUGUUUUGACGUUACCAACAGAAUAAGCACCGGCUAACUUCGUG
rnacentral:rRNA from 1 species